CAACCUCCUCAGGCUGGCCGGCCCACAGGCUGGGCUGGGUGAGUUGUCUUCCAAAGGCUCACUCUCAAGUACGACUAAGAGC
rnacentral:pre_miRNA from 1 species